CCUGCUCUGGAAGAUGAGGGACACAGAACACCUCCCCUGACACGUGGGGCUCAACAGUCGAAGCCAUCAGCCUGUGCAAGCCCCAGUGAGCACAGCGCUGCCGUGAUGGUGGAGAGCCAGGGACGUGCCCGACAUGCCUGCAGUGUCUCUGAUGAAGAGCUGGAUGAAAGAGUUGACACCAUCGUGGCUGCAGUCCUACUCCACUCUGUAGCCAUCAUCCAGGGAGCCCCAAGCAAGGCAGCAAGUGCUCCCUGGGUCACAGUGCCCAGGGUGCCUCCUCCCACACCAGAGCCUGCAGAAUGUACAUCCUCGGCCUCUGCCUUGGCCGGAGGCCCUGUGGGGGAGGCCAAUGAAGCCCCUCUCGCUGCAGCAGCAGCGCCACAAGAAGAAGGUGGAGAAGGGGCUUCUCCUUUGGCUGCAGAGCCUCUCCAGGAGCCCAGCAGAGAUUUCCGCCCAGCAGCAGCUGACAAAGCAGGAGCAGCAGCCAGUCCCUUGGUUCCUGGGCACCAGGUGGCCAUCGAGCAGGGAGGCCAAGCGCAGUCCUCCUCCUGCACCAAAGAUACGACAGCAGAUGAGCCAGCAACAUCCCAGACACAAGCACCAUCCCAGGAUCUGUUGGCCGGGCCUGUUCAGCGCAGCGAGCAGCAGCAAGCACAAGGUUGGCAGCACCACGCGCAGCGGGGCUGGCUGGUCCUGGGCCACCCCUUCCCGGGGAAAGGCCUUGGAGGGGGGGACAGGCUCGCCCAGCACCCGCUCAGGCCCUAACCUACACCUCUGUGUCCCCCACAGGCAUCCAUGACCUCGCACAAGCCCCGGCACGCCAGCCACGGCCCUCCCGCAUCAGGAGGGCACUUCGCGCGCUGCGCAGGGCUUUCCGCUGCAGCUGCAUCACAGGACAGCGAGAGUAGCCGCGCCCGGCUGUGCCAGUACCAGGAGGAUGCUCGGAGCUGGCAGCUGGCCCUCAGGAAGCUUUGCAGCGCCCACGGAAGCAUCACUGCGAGGCACAGGACAGCGCCCCAGGAAUUCAGAUGCCCCACCACAUCCUGCCCCCAGCCUCAGCUCAGCUGCGGCUGCUUUCUGCUCUGAAUAAAACUCAGGCAGACUUUUCCCUCCA
rnacentral:lncRNA from 1 species